CCAGCCGUGGCCUACUGGUUAGGGCUUUCGGGCUUGACACCGAAGGGUUGCUGGUUUGAUCCCCGACCAGUAGGA
rnacentral:tRNA from 1 species